GACGUGAGAACACAAGUACACUUGACUUGCUUCAUUUCCCGCGCAAAUUCACAAGCACGCAANNCCGCGAAAUCAGCGCGUUUUAGAGAGAUACAUGACUACAAAAAUAAACCCAGAUUAUAGCAUUUCUGCUUCGUCAUCUUGUUUGAUCAUCUGGAUAUCUGGAAAUACAUGAAAAGAGNGANAGCAAACACAAUAAUUCCCUGUCGGCUAAGACGCGAUUGGUCAAUUGGUGAUUGAUUGACAGCUUUGGUAUGUUUUAUUUUGAUUCCACGCCGUAGUGAGCCAGUUUUGAAAGGACGUUUAUCGGGGCGCGUUGGUGAAAGAACUGUUCUUUUGUACUUGAUCAUUUACCCCUAUUGAAUCUAAUCUAAGAACAAUAGUGAAUACAAGUUAACAACAGUCUUUACUGAAAUAACCGAUACAUUUGUUAAAAAAACCGGCAACUUCUUGAACCAAACUGACACGUGGCUUUGUUGAUCACUGGUAGAACCUAGUAUUUCUGAGGCCACACGACAAGAAUUCCCUGAACACUUGUUCAUCAACUUAAUAAUACUCAUUCCACAAUGGAAAAAGGAGCUCCUGCUUCACUAGUAAAAGUCGUAGCGAAGGAAGAUGUCCCAUCCAGUACAAAGGAAGUUACAACCAAUGGAGUCAGUGAUGGAGUCGUAGUGACUUUGCCGCCGAACCCCAAUGUUAGAGACUCGGAAGAAAACAUCGUGACGGAACAACAAGCUGUUGUUAACAUCAAGAAAGACGAAAAUCCGGCUGGUGUGGCUACGAAAACAGAAGAUGAUGCUAGGCCUAAAUGGGGCAACAAGUUAGAAUUUAUUCUUGCUACCGUGGGAUUUGCUGUCGGACUUGGGAAUGUCUGGCGUUUUCCAUAUUUAUGUCAAAAAAACGGAGGAGGUGCGUUUUUGAUUCCCUACUUCAUCAGUCUUACCUUACUGGGAAUCCCCCUCUUCUUUCUGGAACUUGGAAUCGGUCAAAGUGUACGACAAGGGUCCAUUGGAGUAUGGAACUAUAUCCAUCCUUAUCUUGGAGGUGUUGGUUANGCCUGUGUUGUAGUAUGUCUGCUAGUAGCCAUAUACUACAACAUGAUUAUUGCCUGGUGUUUCUACUAUCUCUUUGCUUCUUGGCAAGAUCCCUUGCCAUAUUCAAAAUGCCCCAUGAUCAAGCAUGGAAAUGGAUCUAUGAUAAUGGAGCCGGCAUGCGAACUUGCUGGAACAACUCAGUACUACUGGUAUCACGAUGCUCUGCAAGUGACNCCCUCGUUGGAAGAGAGUGGUGGACUCACAUGGCAUCUGGCUUUGACUNUACUGCUUGCCUGGGUUGUAGUCUGGCUGUGCAUGAUGAAGGGGGUACAGUCAGCUGGAAAGGCUGUCUAUUUCACAGCUACCUUUCCAUACAUUGUGCUUAUCAUUUUCUUUGGACGUGGUAUCACUCUGCCAGGCUGUUUUGAUGGCAUAAAAUACAUGUUUAAACCGCAGUUUGACAUGAUUUUAAAGCCUGGNGUUUGGCUUGCUGCNGCUACACAGAUCUUUUUCUCUCUCAGUCUUGCCUUUGGUGGGCUGAUUGCCAUGUCAAGCUACAACCCUGUUCACAACAACUGUCACAGAGAUGCAAUUCUAGUGUCUUGCAUUAAUUGUGGAACGUCCAUUUUUGCUGGUAUUGUCAUCUUUGCCAUUCUUGGUUUCAAGGCACACACAUCUCUCCAUGAAUGUUUGACUGUUUAUGGAGUUAAUGGAACAAAAAUCUUGCCAGCCAAUGAGACACUUGCAUCUCACUGCCAAGAUAUUGACUACUGGCUCUCCAAGACUGCCUCUGGUCCUGGUUUGACUUUCAUCGCCUUCACAGAGGCUAUUGUCAAAAUGCCUGUAUCCCAGCUGUGGGCUACAUUGUUUUUCCUCAUGUUGAUGACCCUUGGUCUUGGUAGUAUGUUUGGUACGCUGGAAGGUGUUAUCACUCCAGUUUAUGACUUGAAACUUGUCCCNUGGAGAAANGAGAUUAUCACAGCUAUCAUCUGUGCAUUCUGCUAUCUUAUUGGGCUACUCUUUUGCCAACGAUCGGGCCAAUACUGGCUUCANAUGUUUGAUACUUUCUCUGGCACCAUUCCUCUCCUUAUCAUUGGAUUCUUUGAACUGGUUGGAGUGUCAUGGAUAUAUGGGCUAAAACGGUUUGAAGAUGAUUUGGAGUAUAUGUUGAAGAUGCGUCCCAGUCUUUACUUCCGAAUCACCUGGAAGUAUGUCUCUCCUGGCUUGGUUAUUAUCAUCCUUGUAGCAAGUCUCAUUAGCAUGGGUCUGGAUCCAAUGAACUAUGAAGGCUUUGACUACAAUGAGGGUCGAUCAAAACCACUGGAGUUCCCUGGUUGGGCCUAUGCCCUCAUUGCUUUCCUCAUUGGUUCGUCCUUCCUAUUUAUACCUGGCAUACUUCUGCUCAGAUACUUCAAUAUUGUACCAUAUCAACGAAAACAGUAUGGUAAGGCAAGAGCAGGCGAUGAAGUUACCCCUGCAGCAGUCACACCAUCCAUGUCGCAAAUACCAUUACCAGCAUCUGAGAUACCAUUAGCAGGAAGGGUAGAAAAUGGACAAGCAUAACCAUAAUGUUUGUAUUUGUUACAUGCUGAACGUUUCUUUUGGGACUUACCUGAUAUUGCUUUAGCAAGAGAGUUUUUCACAGUACAUUUCAAUGCGCAACAUGAUCAUUUUAAGUGCAUUGCAUGUUGUGAGAAAUUAUCUUGCAAUGAUAAUUUAGGCAAGUUUUACAAGAAAUGUUCAGCAUGUAACUGUAAGGCUGUCUGCUUUUUGCCAGUUUUGAUUGGACAACAGAUUUGCCAGAGAGGGCUCAAAGUAAGUUCCACUCUAUAACAGCAAGAAGCAGACAGCUGUAAACCAUAAGUUGCCACUCAGCAAUCAAGCGGUGAACUGCGUCAGGGGGUUUGUCAGCAUAAUUCUGUCCCACAGAAGUGCAUGGGUUUUAAACCUCAAACUGUUGCGAGUCUCAGGGGCUUCAAGAUUCAUUCUGACCCACAGACAGUGUUUGGGUUUCCAUUGGGCUGUUGUUUAUAACCAUGAAUAUAAAGUUAGAAUCUUCACUAAGAUGGUAGCUAUUAUAAAAGAGUGCUAGACUGAAGGAGCACUUGGAGGUUCAAAUGAGAAGCAAGGGUGGCUAGUGGNAUUAGAGCCAUGGUGUAGUNCCANUAUCAUUGAUAUCCAGUUCCCAAAUGGGGACCAUGUGUGGCUUUAGGCUUGUUGUCUAAUCUCAAUCUUGCUAUGACUAAUUGACUAAUAUUGAUCUAAGCCGUGCUCAUUGAUGGGACACUAUUGAGUAGUACUUGUUACGGUACUCUAUAUGUCCAUAAUAGUNUAUUACUAGCCACUUAAUGAAAGCACCCCCUUGACUUCAUCAGAUUGAGCUGAAGUCUUCAUAUUUCAGCAAUAUCCUUUACAUAGCAUAGUACGUUUCAGCAAGCCCAUACCUAUCCAAUUCUCUCCAUACUACCCCCCCUCCCCCCCCCCAAUCCUGCUGAGUGGCUACUUAUGGGGGAAGGGAGGGGAGGGAUUGGGUUGAAUAGAGGUCUUGAUUGUAAAUAUAUACUUAACUGGUUUAGCACUUGUUUUCUCUGAAAACACAUUUUGUAUGCCAGGUGUGAGAUUUGACAACUAUUUCCACAGUUCACACCUUCAUCAUAUUGUGUUUUUAGACCCCUCUUUGGUGUUUCUCUGCAUAUUAUAUUAUAUUUUCUUUUUAACCUGGAGCUGUCUUCUAAAUUUUCUUCUUGGUGGUGAAAUUCUUGCUUUAAGCUGCAGGGCGGCGUAAAGCCAUCUCAGAAUUUGUACCUCAUCACAGGGUACAAAUCAAAUCCAAAAUAAUUAUAAAAUAUGUUUUUAAUCUCCUUAAAAGAGUUUGUACAGAACAAGAUAAAUAUUAUAUUGAACCCAUGGGUGGGCUGACCGACUGCAGAUAUCUAGGGCCAGUUUUUCAAAGGGUAAAAAUCAAAGAAAAUCUUGGUAGUGGUUAACUUUUCCGUAACCCUUUGUACAAUCUGAACCNGAGCCUGGAAUAUACAAUUCAUUUGGUAUGUAUAAAGAAUCCAAAACUUGGCUUUGGGGAAUGUUUGAUCUAUUUAUUCAUGCUUUUAAGUCUUGUUUUGGCGCUAAGUGAGAUGUAUAUCGACACAAGGCUAUUGAUAUUAUUAUUAAUCAUUAAGUUCUUAUCUGCUGUCUUGGUAUCAACUAAGGGUGNUUUUUUUUUGUAACAAAGUUUUGGUUUGAUCAAAGAACAGGUUUUCUUGACCAAGCUCCUCUAAGUCAUUUAUUUUAAAUUGCAACACGUCUUCUUGCAAGCUAAUUAUAUUUUAUAAUCUGACAAUAGUGCUACUGAAUUUAGAGCGGAUUUCGUAUGGUUGUGCAAAAAAUACUGUGCUGUCGCAUUACAAAAUCCGCUCAGUCAGACACUUGCCUUUAAUUUUGCAGUCAUCCAGGUCUUUUAGAAUUCAUAUAGGCCUUUCAUUGUUUGAUUAUNAUGUUCGUGUAUUUUGUGAUCGUCUUUCAUGAUAUAAUAGGGUUUGUCGUUCUAGUAAUUGUAUAUCCUGUGGACUUCAAUCNUCAUUUUUUUCCGCUUUAAAAAACUGGACGAAAAAAUCAUUCUAUUUAAUUUUACAGAAAAUCACAGGAGGUUAAACAGUUUCACAAAACAUUACUCAUGUUUGACCAUGUAUUCAUCUGUCGGAAACUUUCCAUAGACUACAAAAACAUUACAAUCACAUCGUGUUAAAAGGAUUUAGUUGCAACAAUUUGAAGUUCAUUUUUAAACUUCAUUGCAAUUAGAAUCCUUCAUAUUUUUAGAAAAUCAUAUAUUAAAAAAGACCGAAAUAUAAAACUGAAUCGGNACUUAUUCCAAGAUUGAGGUAAAUUAUUAGACUAUUUUAAAGGGAUUUUGUGUCUUGGUGAAGAGUCUGAAUUCAUUCUUCAAAAUAAACAAAAAAACAAAAAUCAAGUCUCUUGCUAAAAAUCUNUAAGUUGUUAAUUUAAAAGUAUGUAAUUGCCUAGCGUAUUGUCAUCCCAAGUGUUCUGGGAAAAAAGAUUCUUAAUUUGCUAGGAGUUGCUUUAACAAUUACAAUUUUAGUCAUAGCAACCACAUGGACUAGACUUAGCAACUGUGUUAUGUUGCCAUGGNAUUACCAAGUCACCAUGGCAAUCAGUUAUCUGUAGCAGUCAAAUUUUAGACGCUUUAUUUCGUAACAAUUUCGUUUUGAAUCUGUUACAUAAAGCAUUGAUGUUUUUAUCAUAAUUCAAAAAAUGGCAAAAAUAUCAUUGGAAAAUUCAACUAUAGUUUUAGAUAAAAAGUGUAUUUUUAAGACGCAAGUGUUGAUCUAAUAUAUCGUAUACUUAAUAUAAAUAUUUGUAUAUUGUGUGCUAAUACCUGACUUAUUAUUAAGGGGGACACAAGAUUGUUGUGAUUGUCAAUUUGUAGAGAUGACAAGUAGUCAUUCACAGUUUAUGAAACAAGUUGUGGAAGUUUAGUUAGCGCUCUCUAGAAGUAGCUUCUGAAUCGAAGCAUCUGCUGGAGGUGAACCUUAAGCAAAAUGAAAAAGGAACCAUGAGCAGUUGUUUCUGUGAAGACNAUUUGUGGUGUCUGCAUAAGCUCAAUACAUUUUGCAGUUCCUCGAAAUUUCCNCAAUUNUAGAUCAUAAUUUUCGUUUUUUGGUUCUUGAAGUGUAUGUGUGUGCCAAGUAAACUAGCUUAAUAUAUAAAUGAUUAGUAUAUGAAUUGAUAUCAUAGCCAAAGCGCCAUUACUAUCUUUAUUCAGAAAUAGGGUUCUUUCCAGAAAUGCACAAGUGGAUUGAACUACUUGGGGUGUAAAUAAUAUCAAUCUUUCGAUAAAAGUGGACACUGCAACAUCAUUGUUUUCUGUCAGUUACUUUUUCAAUCCCUUGUGAGUUUCUGGUUAUAAGAUUGAUCUGUAUCAUUAAGCUCACUUGUUAUUGACAGCUGUCAUUCAAGUGAUUGACAACUAUAUUUUAUGCAAAUCUCAUUUAUUCAUCAAGGCCAAGCCAUGGCUACAAGAAUUGUUUCAAUUGGUGGGAAAUUUGUUUGUAGAAUUCUUGGUAGCAGUGGCUUGAGCAGAUUUUUUUGUGGUGUCAAAGUGCAAGCACUAAACCGGUAAAAGUAGCAAAUUUAACUUAGAAUUAAAUUAUUGACACAACUAUUUUUAUUAAUAUUUAUAAUCGAGAGGUUUUAGUGCCUGCAUACUUAACAAUUGAUACACAAGUGUUCUUAUACGCACAAACUGGUUUAUUUUUUUUGAAGCUUGAUUCUUUAGCAGUCACGUGAUAAGUCACAUGACUUAUCUAUGACGUCAUCGUGCUGAGAGUAGAAACGUUUGGCGAAUUUGUUUUAAUGUGGUGUUAUAAGAACUACUUUGUGUGACCAUGUCGAAAUCAUUACAGUAGCCACAAUAUUUAUAGCUUGACAUUUUAACGUGAUUUAACGUUUUCAAAUUGUUGUAAAAAGGACUAAAAUUUCAUAGUGUCUUNCCAUUAGAAUGGAAUUUGUCCAUUUUAAGACCCAGAGGNCUGUGUGUGACUAACUUUUCAAGACUGAAACAGACCUGUUUUAAACCGAUAUGAGAUAUAGUGCAUCUUGAAGCACAAAAUUGGACAUGGGUUAGCUACGCACAGUCCCACUAGUAAGAAUUAAGCNUGCUAUAUUUGUACAUAGGCCAAGGUUAAUAAAAAUGUAAUGUAGAAAUGUCGGUAUUGUCGUUUUAAACAGUGUUUGAUUUGUAUGGUUAAGAGUUGGAGUUCACUUUAUUGGUGGCCAAUGUCUUAAUGUAAAGCACAGUUAUUCAUUUAAUAGCAAUAAAAGAAUUGAACAUUG
rnacentral:misc_RNA from 1 species